GAAUAUUGCACAACGGGGGGAUCCCUGAUGCAGCGAUGCUGCGUGGAGGAAGCAGGUUUCCGGAUUUUAAUCUCCUUUCGUAAGGGACGAUAAUGACGGUACCUUACAAGAAAGCUCCGGCCAACUCCGUCCCAGCAGGCGCGGUAAUACGUAGGGAGCGAGCGUUGUCCGGAAUUACUGGGUGUAAAGGGAGCGUAGGCGGGACGGCAAGUCAGAUGUGAAAUAUACGUGCUCAACAUGUAGACUGCAUUUGAAACUGUCGUUCUUGAGUGAGGUAGAGGUAAGCGGAAUUCCUGGUGUAGCGGUGAAAUGCGUAGAGAUCAGGAGGAACAUCGGUGGCGAAGGCGGCUUACUGGGCCUUUACUGACGCUGAGGCUCGAAAGCGUGGGGAGCAAACAGG
rnacentral:rRNA from 1 species